rnacentral:tRNA from 1 species
AGGUCAGUAGCUCGAAUUGGUAGAGCAGGGGCCUCCAAAGCCCAAGGUUGCCGGUUCGAAUCCGGCCUGGCCUGCCA